rnacentral:rRNA from 1 species
GAUGAACGCUGGCGGCGUGCCUAAUACAUGCAAGUCGAGCGAACAGACGAGGAGCUUGCUCCUCUGACGUUAGCGGCGGACGGGUGAGUAACACGUGGAUAACCUACCUAUAAGACUGGGAUAACUUCGGGAAACCGGAGCUAAUACCGGAUAAUAUAUUGAACCGCAUGGUUCAAUAGUGAAAGACGGUUUUGCUGUCACUUAUAGAUGGAUCCGCGCCGCAUUAGCUAGUUGGUAAGGUAACGGCUUACCAAGGCAACGAUGCGUAGCCGACCUGAGAGGGUGAUCGGCCACACUGGAACUGAGACACGGUCCAGACGCCUACGGGAGGCAGCAGUAGGGAAUCUUCCGCAAUGGGCGAAAGCUUGACGGAGCAACGCCGCGUGAGUGAUGAAGGUCUUCGGAUCGUAAAACGCUGUUAUUAGGGAAGAACAAAUGUGUAAGUAACUAUGCACGUCUUGACGGUACCUAAUCAGAAAGCCACGGCUAACUACGU